GCAAGUCAAGGGGAAAAUUUCGGCUUGCCGAAAUGAUUACACUGGCGAACGGGUGAGUAUCGCGUAGGCAACCUGCCCUUGUGAAUGGGAUAACCCCGGGAAACCGGGGCUAAUACCGUAUAACAUCUUUUUAACACCUGUUGGAAAGAUCAAAGAUGCUUUUGUAUCGCGCAAGGAUGGGCCUGCGUUCCAUUAGCUUGUUGGUAAGGUAACGGCUUACCAAGGCCACGAUGGAUAGCUGAUCUGAGAGGGUGAUC
rnacentral:rRNA from 1 species